rnacentral:rRNA from 1 species
AGUGAACGCUGGCGGUAGGCCUAACACAUGCAAGUCGAACGGCAGCACAGGAGAGCUUGCUCUCUGGGUGGCGAGUGGCGGACGGGUGAGGAAUACAUCGGAAUCUACUUUUUCGUGGGGGAUAACGUAGGGAAACUUACGCUAAUACCGCAUACGACCUACGGGUGAAAGCAGGGGACCUUCGGGCCUUGCGCGAUUGAAUGAGCCGAUGUCGGAUUAGCUAGUUGGCGGGGUAAAGGCCCACCAAGGCGACGAUCCGUAGCUGGUCUAAGAGGAUGAUCAGCCACACUGGAACUGAGACACGGUCCAGACUCCUACGGGAGGCAGCAGUGGGGAAUAUUGGACAAUGGGCGCAAGCCUGAUCCAGCCAUACCGCGUGGGUGAAGAAGGCCUUCGGGUUGUAAAGCCCUUUUGUUGGGAAAGAAAAGCAACCGGUUAAUACCCGGUUGUCAUGACGGUACCCAAAGAAUAAGCACCGGCUAACUUCGUGCCAGCCGCCGCAGUAA